rnacentral:misc_RNA from 1 species
GAUGAAGAACGUAGCGAAAUGCGAUAAGUAAUGUGAAUUGCAGAAUUCAGUGAAUCAUCGAAUCUUUGAACGCACAUUGCGCCCGCCAGUAUUCUGGCGGGCAUGCCUGUUCGAGCGUCAUUUCAACCAUCAAGCCCCAGGCUUGUGUUGGAGCCCUGCGGCUGCCGCAGCCUCCCAAAACCAGUGGCGGGCUCGCUAUCACACCGAGUGCAGUAGUUUACUCUUCGCUCAGGGCGUGUGGCGGGUGCUAGCCGUAAAACCCCCAACUUCUCAAGGUUGACCUCGGAUCAGGUAGGUAUACCCGCUGAACUUAAGCAUAUCAAUAAGCGGAGGA